AUCCGGGUUGCGGACAGUGUCUGGUGGGUAGUUUGACUGGGGCGGUCUCCUCCUAAAGAGUAACGGAGGAGCACGAAGGUUGGCUAAUCCUGGUCGGACAUCAGGAGGUUAGUGCAAUGGCAUAAGCCAGCUUGACUGCGAGCGUGACGGCGCGAGCAGGUGCGAAAGCAGGUCAUAGUGAUCCGGUGGUUCUGAAUGGAAGGACCAUCGCUCAACGGAUAAAAGGUACUCCGGGGAUAACAGGCUGAUACCGCCCAAGAGUUCAUAUCGACGGCGGUGUUUGGCACCUCGAUGUCGGCUCAUCACAUCCUGGGGCUGAAGUAGGUCCCAAGGGUAUGGCUGUUCGCCAUUUAAAGUGGUACGCGAGCUGGGUUUAGAACGUCGUGAGACAGUUCGGUCCCUAUCUGCCGUGGGCGCUGGAGAACUGAGGGGGGCUGCUCCUAGUACGAGAGGACCGGAGUGGACGCAUCACUGGUGUUCGGGUUGUCAUGCCAAUGGCACUGCCCGGUAGCUAAAUGCGGAAGAGAUAAGUGCUGAAAGCAUCUAAGCACGAAACUUGCCCCGAGAUGAGUUCUCCCUGACCCUUUAAGGUCCUGAAGGAACGUUGAAGACGACGACGUUGAUAGGCCGGGUGUGUAAGCGCAGCGAUGCGUUGAGCUAACCGGUACUAAUGAACCGUGAGGCUUAACCUUACAACGCCGAAGGUGUUU
rnacentral:rRNA from 1 species